UCUCACGCUCGCUCUGCUCUAUCACAUAAUACCACUUCUGCAGCUCCCUGCGAAUAAUCAAACCACUUCUGCAGCUCCCUGCGAACAAUCAAACCAGCGUCGCAACCGCAAACCACCAAAAGGUUUCGAAAUUUGUUGGAUGAUUCGGAGUGGUGUUUAGUGAGAGAUAAUACUGAACGUUUGAAUUGUUGCAAGCAGCAGCAGGUUAGGUACUCUCAAUUUCCUCAAAUGGCUAGUAUCCAUGAUGAGCCGGAAAUUUCUCCCAAGGAAGCCACUAGUGCCAAUAAGGAAGCUAAUGGAGUGGAGGUGUGUUACUAGCUAAUUCAUCAGCUUUGAUUAUUUACAGGGUAAAACUGUUUGAAAAUGUUUAAAGUCCAUUCCCUGUUGCCUCGUGAAGGAAAGGUAGUUAUGCACCAGUCUUCUCUCAUUUGGCAGAAGUCUGCUCUAGUUUCUUUUUUGUCCCAUUCAAAUUCUUUUGUACAUACUGUAAUCUGGAUAUUUCUAACGCAGAGAGUCCGUUUUGGUUCAUUAUCAGUAUUCAAUUCAGUCUCGUGUUUAACUAUUUUCUACCGAAUGUAUGCAUCACAUGCUUUUGUGAUUGGCGUAAGGAUGGAUCUUAAUCCAUCACAAACUGUUAUUGGUUGCGGUCCUUGAUCUUUAACGUUACAAUAUUUUACAUACAUCUUUAAAUA